rnacentral:ribozyme from 1 species
GGGGAGCCCUCGCUCCCCUGCCUAAUGCAGCCAUAGACGGUCACAAGCCCGUGCAAAUGCAGAGUGAGCA